GGAUGGGCGGCGACGGAGGCGAGUCGCGCCGGUCUGUAAAACCGGAAACUUCGGUUUCUGUGGGUUCAAGUCCCACCCCAUCCACCA
rnacentral:tRNA from 1 species